rnacentral:sRNA from 1 species
UACAUGUGAGAUAUUCCGUGAAGGUAAC